GGAUUGCUUUUAAUGUGUCUGACCGAGUUGAUUCUUUAAGAAUUGCCUUUGGCAUAAGUCUCCGGUUUGUCUAUUUAGAGACGAUCAUUUUAGAGCGACUCGCUCAAAGCCUUUGUGGAGCAGGUUUCCAGCACAUGUUGGUCAAACGUACGCCAAAUGGUGGUUGGAGCCGGAAAUAAAGAGAACAGUCUGUCAAGGAUUGAUGCUGUGUGCGGGAGAUUCUGCACUCAUUAGAGCUUUGAGAGGGUGCAGUUUAACCAGCCAAAGCUGCUGCAAGGAGCUGCCUGCCUGUGUGUCUCCCUGCCUGUGAACUUGUGACCCCGUUCGCAUGGAGGGCCAUUCAGAUCAAGAAAAAGAGAAAGCAGUGAUUUGCAGAUGGGACGUUAAACUGAGGUCCUGCCUGCCUGUUCAGACGGAUGUUAAAGAUCCCAAGAUGGUGCAGUGAUAAUCUAGAAAUGGAACAAGGACCGAGGUUCUAAAAGCACAGCAAGAAGCAAAACUGAUUGAUGAGUGACAUCAGAAAGCAACAGCUCAUUGAGGAAUGAAAUAAAAACAGAAUCUGCCAGAACUACAUCACAGGACCAUGUAUUUGCUAUUAAAGUUUGUUCAAUGUUUCAUGUAUGACCCUUUAUCAGAAGUGAAUUUACCCCCACAUGUAAUUGAUUUCUCUUCUGAUCCCACUAUUUAAGGAAUGUUGUUGCUUGCUUGAAGGGAUCUGCGUGUGUCAGAUACUUGACUGACCAAAUAAAAAUUGGAAUGUU